UACGUAGGGGGCGAGCGUUGUCCGGAAUCAUUGGGCGUAAAGAGCGUGUAGGCGGCUUGGCAAGUCUGACGUGAAAGCCCGCGGCUCAACCGCGGAUUGUCGUUGGAAACUGCCUCGCUAGAGUCCGGAAGAGGAGAGCGGAAUUCCUGGUGUAGCGGUGGAAUGCGCAGAUAUCAGGAAGAACACCCGUGGCGAAGGCGGCUCUCUGGGACGGUACUGACGCUGAGACGCGGAAGCGUGGGGAGCGAUCCGG
rnacentral:rRNA from 1 species